rnacentral:lncRNA from 1 species
AUAUGGUACUUUCCUGUAAUUGUGUUUGGAAUUGUAUUGGUGCGUUGUGUGGUUUUGAUAUAUAUUUUUUAUUUAAUACAAUCAUUCAUUUGAUUGAAUGGAUAAACAGUGAUAUCUUUUGAUAAAACAGUGUGAAAAAUUAAAUGAUGCAAUAAUAAUAAUUUUUUUAGCAUUACUGUGUUUCAAUACAUAGGUAAAAUAUAAGUUCAAUUUUGCAAUUUUAUGACUUACCCUAAUGAUGGCUUCCUAGAAAUGUCAUGCACUAUUGCACUAAUAUCUGUUUCAAGAAAAAUUUUUAGAUAAUAUUUUUACAAAAAUUAAGUUUUACAGGAUUACUAUCUACCUUUAAGAGAUGCUGGGGUUGUUAUUAGAGCACUUUCUUCUUGUAAGGAUUUCUUACGUAACAUUUCUAUUUGUAUCUCUUCUUCCUAAAAGUAAAAUAAAAACAUUAAUUCUUAAUAAAUACACACAAUAUUUUCAUUUAUAAUGCUUUAUAUAUCAAUGCAUACAGAUCUUUCAGUUCUGACUAUAGAUGGCUUAGGAGGAGGAACUGCCAAAGGAGUAGGUGCUUCAGUUUCUGUUUAAAGAUCAGAGUUAAUUAUUCUGACCUAAUAUCUAUUUCUUAUAUUGUUUACUAACCUGGUGUACUUUCCUCGAGUGUGUAAGCCCAUGCAGGAUCAGUCAGUUCAGGAAAAGUUUUUAAAUUUCUCCAAAAUUUCUUUAAUAUAGAAGAUCCAAUUCCUAUAUAAAGAAAUACAGUUUUCAUUCUAGCAGAAUUUGUUUUGUCUUUGAUAAUAUCAAUAAUUACUUGAUCCAGGUUCCUUAAAAAGUCUGUCAACUGGCUUCUGGAGUGAUGCAUAUGACUGAAAUAGAAAAAUUAUACAGAAUUAUAUGUUUAUUAGCAAAUUAUGAACUUAAAUUGUUAAUAAUUAUCUUAAUAUUCUCUUGGUUGGAAAGAGAUUGCUUAAUUAGAAAAAAUUUUUACUAGUGGUUGUAGCAGCUUAUUUGAUGUAAGAAUAUUAUUUUUGAAUUCCUCAUUAGAAAUAAUUGUUCUUUCAUCAUGGAUUAGAAGGCGCCUGCGAGGUACUUUAUGACUUCUUACAGCAGGUUGCAAUUCAAAAUCACCAGACACUUCCCUUCGCUGUGGAAUGUUUAAAAUUAUUGAAAAUAACCAAUUAUUUUAAGUAUUUAUAAUAAAAACAUACUCUUCUUUUUUCUCUAUGUUCUCUCUGAACAUCAUGAACUGGUGUUUCUUCUGGAACAGGUGGAACAGUCUUUUCUGGUCUAGUUGGAAUUGGAGGAAUAAAUCUUGCAGGUGUCAUCUCUCUAGGAAAUGGUACAGUUUCUUGGAGUAACAUUCUAAAUACAAAUAUGAAGUUGGUUUUUAGUUAUUUUUAUUUCAAAAUGUUAACUAAUGCAAUUCACCUUGGUGAUGGUGUUUUCAUAGGCACUGUUAUCAGAACUUGUUCUUCAGGAAUGGGGGUUUCAGUAAUAGGUCGUAAAUCCUCAAAUGGAGGUAAAUCUUUGAUUCCUGGGAACUAUAAUCUCUGUUAUCAUCUUACAGGUCAGUGUAUAAUAAUAAUAAUUUUAUUUUUAAUAAUCUUACUUCAAGAUCUUCCUUUAAAAAAGUAAUGGAUGGUUCAGGCAGAGUUACUUCACUUAUAUGAGCAGUGAUUGGUGAAACUAAUUAAUCAAACUAUAUCAAUAUUAUGUACUAUGCAUUUUUUUUCUUUUUAUUAUAGUGAAAUUCUAACCUGCCUGUUCUAAACUUGGUUGUAUUUUUCUUGGCUUUUCUUCAAUCAAACUAGCAGGCUUUGAUGACAGUGAACUGCGAGGAGUCUGUACAGGAAAAAAUUCAUAAGGUGGAACUAUUAAAGAGAUUGUUUCAUCAGAGAAACGGCCAAAUUCUGGGUUUACAUUCUUCCUUAUUGGAUCAUCGAGCGUUACUGUGAGAUAUCUGAAAGUUUAUUUGUUUAAGAUGAUUGAAAUACAAUAAUUUCUAAUGGCAAAGAACUAUUAACUUACUUUACUUGAAGUUGUGUCUCAUCUUUUUUAAUUUCAGGUUUCAUCAAAUAUAAACCUUCCUGUAGCAUUCUAGUGUC